AUGAAAGGUAAGAAUCUGGGGGCUCAAGCCUUGCUUUUGAAUAUAAAUCCUAGAGCUUUUUAUUCUGCAUGUGGGUGUCAUAGCCUUAAUUUAACAGUAUGUGAUAUGGCCAAGACUUGUGGUAAAGCUAAGGACUUCUUUGGAAUCAUACAACGUAUCUACACAACAUUUGCUAAUUCCACGAAGAAAUGGAAGAUUUUGAAAGAUAAUAUAGGAGAUGGAUUGACUCUGAAAUCAGUCUCAUCUACUCGUUGGGAGAGUCACAUAAAUAGUGUCAAAGCUAUUAGGUUUCAGAUUUCAGACAUACGAAAAGCUCUACUGCAAGUAGCUGAUGUCGAUAAAGAUCCUAAAACUAGUAGUGAAGCUAAAUCUCUAGCAAAUAAUGAACUUGGUGAUUUCGAAUUUGUAGUAGCGAUAAUCAUUUGGUAUGAUAUAUUGGCUGCAGUAAAUUUGAUUAGCAAGGACUUACAGUCAAAAGAUAUGCUUAUUGAUGUUGCCAUUGAAAAAGUGCAAGGCUUGAUUACCUUUUUUAAAGGUUACAGAGACACUGGUUUCACUACUGCAGUAGAAAUAGCAAGGGAAAUAGCACUUGAAAUAGAUAUCGACCCUGCAUUUCGGAAAAAGCGUGAAAUUAAAAGAAAAAAACAAUUUGAUGAGAAUCCUGAUGAUGUGUUAGAUGCUUCACAAUCUGCACAAGAGUCGUUUAGGAUAAACUACUUCUUACCUGUUGUUGAUCAAGCUAUUGCUUCACUUACUACGAGAUUUGAGCAAUAUAAAUCAUACGAAAAAACUUUUGGUUUCUUGUUUACUUCUCAUGCACUAAACUCAUUGGAUGAUAAAAAUUUGAGGUCUUCUUGCAGUAGCCUUGAGACUGCACUUAGAAGUGGUGACAAAUCUGACAUUGAUGGUAAUGAUUUAUAUGUUGAGUUAAAGUUACUCCAAGAUUUCAUUCCAAAGGAAAAAAAUAUGGGACCUAUUGACAUUUUAAAUUUUUUGAAACGCUUGAAUUGUUUUCCCAAUGCAACUAUUGCAUAUAGAAUUUUAUUGACCAUCCCAGUAACCGUUGCAUUGGCGGAGAGAAGUUUUUCUAAACUAAAGUUGUUGAAGUCCUAUUUGCGUUCUACAAUGACACAAGAAAGACUUAGUGGACUGACUUUGAUAGCAAUUGAAAACGACAUCUUGGAGAAUGUAUCUUACGAGGAACUAAUUGAAGAAUUUAUCUCAAGGAAUGCAAGAAGGAUGUCACGCUUCUGCUAG
rnacentral:rRNA from 1 species